CCUACGGGUGGCAGCAGUGAGGAAUAUUGGUCAAUGGACGAGAGUCUGAACCAGCCAAGUAGCGUGAAGGAUGACUGCCCUAUGGGUUGUAAACUUCUUUUAUAUGGGAAUAAAAUGUUCCACGUGUGGGAUUUUGUAUGUACCAUAUGAAUAAGGAUCGGCUAACUCCGUGCCAGCAGCCGCGGUAAUGCGGAGGAUCCGAGCGUUAUCCGGAUUUAUUGGGUUUAAAGGGAGCGUAGGUGGAUUGUUAAGGCAGUUGUGAAAGUUUGCGGCUCAACCGUAAAAUUGCAGUUGAAACUGGCAGUCUUGAGUACAGUAGAGGUGGGCGGAAUUCGUGGUGUAGCGGUGAAAUGCUUAGAUAUCACGAAGAACUCCGAUUGCGAAGGCAGUUCACUGGACUGCAACUGACACUGAGGCUCGAAAGUGUGGGUAUCAAACAGGAUUAGAUACCCUGGUAGUC
rnacentral:rRNA from 1 species